rfam:Hordeum vulgare subsp. vulgare, WGS project CAJW01000000 data, contig: morex_contig_244548
AUGAUACUCCCUCCAUCCGAAAAUACUUGUUCAAGAAAUUGAUAUAUGGAUGUAUCUAUAAUUAAAAUAAUUCUAGAUACAUUCAUCUUUAAAACAAGUAUUUUUGGAUGGAGAAAGUAUUUU